UACGGGGGGGGGCAAGCGUUGUUCGGAAUUAUUGGGCGUAAAGAGCUCGUAGGCGGUUCGUCGCGUCGGCUGUGAAAACCCGGAGCUCAACUCCGGGCCUGCAGUCGAUACGGGCGGACUUGAGUGUUGCAGGGGAGACUGGAAUUCCUGGUGUAGCGGUGAAAUGCGCAGAUAUCAGGAGGAACACCGGUGGCGAAGGCGGGUCUCUGGGCAACUACUGACGCUGAGACGCGAAAGCGUGGGGAGCAAACAGG
rnacentral:rRNA from 1 species